UUCAUUCAUUCAAAAGUGUUUGGUGAUGUAGGCGGAUAUUAGCUUGGCAGUCCCUGGUCGAAUCCAAAUUGUAGCCCUACACGAUGAGGGUUGUAAUCUACCUCAGGGUACUCCAUUUCUAUUUUCUUACCUGAUUGUUCAUAAUACUGCUAGUAAAGUAAAUUUCUUUCUUCAAAUUGACUAAGAGGAGAAGCACUUUGACGCCCAAAAAGUCCCAUGUC